rnacentral:rRNA from 1 species
GGCGGCGUGCCUAAUACAUGCAAGUCGAGCGAAGAGAUGGGAGCUUGCUCCCUGAUCUUAGCGGCGGACGGGUGAGUAACACGUGGGCAACCUGCCCUGCAGACUGGGAUAACUCCGGGAAACCGGAGCUAAUACCGGGUAAUACAUCGCACCGCAUGGUGCAAUGUUGAAAGUUGGCUUUCGAGCUAACACUGCAGGAUGGGCCCGCGGCGCAUUAGCUAGUUGGUAAGGUAAUGGCUUACCAAGGCGACGAUGCGUAGCCGACCUGAGAGGGUGAUCGGCCACACUGGGACUGAGACACGGCCCAGACUCCUACGGGAGGCAGCAGUAGGGAAUCUUCCGCAAUGGACGAAAGUCUGACGGAGCAACGCCGCGUGAGUGACGAAGGCCUUCGGGUCGUAAAGCUCUGUUGUUAGGGAAGAACAAGUACCGUUCGAAUAGGGCGGUACCUUGACGGUACCUAACCAGAAAGCCACGGCUAACU